UGGGGACCCAUGGACCACAAAUGGCCCCCAAAUGGCUCCCAAAUGGACCCCAAAUGGCCCCCAAAUGGACUCCAAAUGGACCCCAAAAUGCUCCCAAAUGGACCCCAAAUGGCCCCCAUACUGCAGCACCGCCACCUGGGGACCCAUGGACCCCAAACGGACCCCAAAUGGCUCCCAAAUGGAUCCCAAAUGGCCCCCAAAUGGACCCCAAAUGGACCCCAUAGUCCAGCAUCGCCACCUGGGGACCCAUGGACCCCAAAUGGCCCCCAAAUGGCCCCCAAAUGGCCCCCAAAUGGACCCCAAAAUGCUCCCAAAUGGCCCCCAAAUGGCUCCCAAACUGCCCCCAUACUGCAGCACCGCCACCUGGGGAUCCAUGGACCCCAAAUGGACCCCAAAAUGCUCCCAAAUGCACCCCAAAUGGCCCCCAGAUGGCCCCCAUACUGCAGCACUGCUACCUGGGGACCCAUGGACCCCAAAUGGACCGCAAAUGGACCCCAAAUUCACCCCAUACUGCAACACUGCCACCUGGGGACACAAAUGGACCCCAAUUGGGCCCCAAAUGGACCUCAUACUUCAACAUCGCCACCUGGGGGACCCAUGGACCACAAAUGGACCCCAAAUGGACCCCAUACUGCAGCACCACCACCUGGGGACCAACAGACCCCAAAUGGCCCCCAAAUGGCUCCCAAAUGGACCCCAAAUGGACCCCAAAUGGCUCCCAAAUGGACCCCAAAUGGCCCCCAAACGGCCCCCAUACUGCAGCACCGCCACCUGGGGACCCCCGGACCCCCAAAGGAAGGUGGCACUGGGGGUGUCCCCGUGUCCCCCCCCCCAUGUCCCACCUGGCUCUGCUGCGGCCCCACAAAGAAGCGCGCCAGCAGCGCCUGCAGGAAGCGCUGCACCUCGUGCCAGGGGUAGAUGCUGUUGGAGCCGUCCAGCAGGAUGACGAUGUCCAGGAACGUGGGGCAGCCUGCGGCAUCGGGACGGGGGAUGUGGGGGGAUGCGGGGCUGUGGGGGGGGUGGGG
rnacentral:lncRNA from 1 species